rnacentral:sRNA from 1 species
UUGCCCUUUUUUUUAGGAGUGUUCCCUGGAAAAGAGGGACGGAUGAACCUGGAAGGCCAAAUCCUUGUAGCUGUCUUCUUGCCCCGGUCAGUGCCAGCCGUACUAUUCACAACACUGCUGCUACCGAGGCCUAGGAUCAGUUCUUAAGAGCAGCCCCGGUAACUGGAGGAAUGGGAGCCGUUUUGAUGAGAAAAAUGGGCUGGAGAGAAGGAGAAGGAUUAGGAAAAAACAAAGAAGGCAAUAAGGAACCCAUCCUAGUUGAUUUUAAGACAGACCGAAAAGGUCUUGUUGCAGUAGGAGAAAGAGCACAAAAGAGGUCUGGGAACUUCUCUGCUGCAAUGAAAGAUCUGUCAGGCAAACAUCCUGUGUCUGCUUUGAUGGAAAUCUGUAAUAAGAGAAGGUGGCAACCACCUGAAUUUCUAUUGGUCCAUGAUAGUGGCCCUGAUCAUCGCAAACAUUUUCUCUUUAGGGUAUUGAGAAAUGGAAGCCCUUACCAGCCCAAUUGUAUGUUUUUCUUGAAUAGGUAUUGAUAAAUGGAAGCGCUUACCAGCCCAGCUUUGCCAGCCCUAAUAAGA